rfam:Myotis brandtii contig161875, whole genome shotgun sequence.
GGCCAGAUAGCUCAAUUGGUUAGAGCAUUACCCUGAUAUGACAAGGUUUUGGUUUCGAUCUCCAAUCAGGGCU